UGGGAACAGAAAACACCCUGUGCCUUGUGGAGCCAGCCAGUUUGCUCUGCUUUGCCGCUUCUUCUGCUCCUCUGCCUCCUUUCUAAGCAUCACAAUCUUUGACCAUUGACUGGUUAUGGAUUGGUAGAAAGAGCAAGUUCUGCUGCUGGUCACAUUAUGAAGGGAAAGGGACAGCUCAGUGAUAAUGACGACAGAGAUGGAGAAGAACUCACCUGCAUGGCCUUGAGCAAGCUACAGGGACCCCCUGAGUGUCUUCAGAAGAGCAGAAUGGAAAACCACUUCAGUACUUAGAAGACUCUGGAAUUGGACACCAUAACUCAAAAUCUACUUGAAGCAGGAACAACGGACCGCGACGGAGCCUUGGUAGUGACCGGCUUAGGCGGCUUAAUCAAGUCCUUGGGCUUAGCCAGC